rnacentral:rRNA from 1 species
UGCGUAGGCGGAUUUAUAAGUCAGUGGUGAAAUCCUACAGCUUAACUGUAGAACUGCCAUUGAUACUGUAGAUCUUGAGUACGGCUGAGGUGGGCGGAAUGUGUCAUGUAGCGGUGAAAUGCUUAGAUAUGACACAGAACACCAAUUGCGAAGGCAGCUCGCUAAACCGUAACUGACGCUGAGGCACGAAAGCGUGGGGAGCGAACAGGAUUAGAUACCCUGGUAGUCC